rnacentral:ncRNA from 1 species
CGAAAGACCGUGAAAAAGAGGAGUAUGUAUCGGAUAAUUGGCAGAGAGAAAGGGUCAUCGGCUGCAAGCCCUUUACAAGAUAGGAUACAGAAGGUAGCUUUUGAGUUGUUUUGCCGAAGGGUUUUCCUGCGUAGGUAAAAACGGGUGACUCCGUUAUUGGUUAUUGAGUGUCUGUCCUUUUUGGGCAGAAAUAAAGGUGGUACCGCGAGUUUUCGUCCUUUUU